rnacentral:rRNA from 1 species
GAUGAACGCUCGCGGCGUGCCUAAUACAUGCAAGUCGAGCGAACAGAUGAGGCGCUUGCUCCUCUGACGUUAGCCGCGGAAGGGUGCGUAACCCGUGGAUACCCACCCUACAAGACUGGGACAACUUCGGGAAACCGGAGCCAAUACCCGCUAAUAUAUGGAACCUCAUGGGUCCAUAGGGCACGACGGUUUGGAUGUCACUUCAGGAUGGAUCCGCGCCGCAUUCACUAGUUGGUAAGGUAACGGCUUACCAAGGCAACGAUGCGUAGCCGACCUGAGAGACUGAUCGGCCACACUGGAACUGAGACACGGUCCAGACUCCUACGCGACGCAGCAGUAGGGAAUCUCCCGCAACGCGCGACUGUCUUGCCGAGCUACGAAGCGUGAGUGAUGAGGGUCCUCGGACCUUAGAACCCUGCUAUCCGGGCUGAACAACUGUGAAAGUGACUAUUCGCGUAGGGACUGUACCUGGUCAGAUAACCACGGCUACCGAAAUG